rnacentral:lncRNA from 1 species
UUGAACUGUCUUGAUAUGGUGCUUACAGAUGUAGUCCUAUGUGUGUAUAUUCAAUGCCUUCGUUGUCUUUCCAUUAAUAGAAGAACUACAGUUUUGAAUAUAUGCUUAGAUCUCAAAAACUUCAUUUUUUCCUGCACAUGUCCUUGAGUUUUCAUAUAUAAUCUGGGUGGUUAUGGUGCCAUGUUGUUCUAUUUUAUUGGUGUGUUUCGAUAAA